rnacentral:rRNA from 1 species
UACGUAGGGGGCAAGCGUUGUUCGGAUUUACUGGGCGUAAAGGGCGCGUAGGCGGCGCAACAAGUCACUUGUGAAAUCUCCGGGCUUAACCCGGAGCGGCCAAGUGAUACUGUCGUGCUAGAGUGCGGAAGGGGCUACUGGAAUUCUCGGUGUAGCGGUGAAAUGCGUAGAUAUCGAGAGGAACACCUGCGGCGAAGGCGGGUAGCUGGGCCGACACUGACGCUGGAGGCGCGAAAGCCAGGGGAGCGAACGGGG